rnacentral:rRNA from 1 species
AUUGAACGCUGGCGGCAGGCCUAACACAUGCAAGUCGAGCGGAUGAAGGGAGCUUGCUCCUGGAUUCAGCGGCGGACGGGUGAGUAAUGCCUAGGAAUCUGCCUGGUAGUGGGGGAUAACGUCCAGAAACGGGCGCUAAUACCGCAUACGUCCUGAGGGAGAAAGCGGGGGAUCUUCGGACCUCACGCUAUCAGAUGAGCCUAGGUCGGAUUAGCUAGUUGGUGGGGUAAAGGCCUACCAAGGCGACGAUCCGUAACUGGUCUGAGAGGAUGAUCAGUCACACUGGAACUGAGACACGGUCCAGACUCCUACGGGAGGCAGCAGUGGGGAAUAUUGGACAAUGGGCGAAAGCCUGAUCCAGCCAUGCCGCGUGUGUGAAGAAGGUCUUCGGAUUGUAAAGCACUUUAGGUUGGGAGGAAGGGCAGUAAGUUAAUACCUUGCUGUUUUGACGUUACCAACAGAAUAAGCACCGGCUAACUUCGUG